UGUUUGUUGAUUAUAUGGCAGAAGUACUGCCUUUUAAUCCGUGACAGUUCUUCAGUGAUAACAUGCCUUGUGAACCCAAAGAGGCUUGGGUAGCCCACUGAGCCCAGAGCGGAUCUGGAUGCUGCUGGCUUUAAAGAUGAACAUGCUGGCCAGCAUCCUGCCUCCCCUGUGUCCCAGAGAAGGGCACUGUGGGGGGGGCAGUGGAGAUCUCACUCCCCUGACCAACCUCACCCAGGGGCUGAUGGGAAAAGGAAUGAUGUGGUCCCUGAAGAGUGCCUAGGCUGACGCCAAAUAUGUGAAUGUCGAAGGACCUUAGUCUAUUACCUGACAUAUGACACAUCUUGAUAAACACAAAAAUCACCGCUGAUGUCAGUUAUUUAUGCUCCGUACAGUAUAUGUUAGUGAUACACAAAACUAUGCUUUAUGAACCAUUGGCUGCUUUUUUUGACCCCACUAGAUGGUGCUCUCUGUUAAAAAAAGGGCCCAAAGCAUUUCCUAAAGGAAACCAAGAGCGCCAUCUAGUGGGGUCAAAAAAUACAACAAAUGAUUCACAAAGCA